UACGUAGGUGGCGAGCGUUAUCCGGAAUGAUUGGGCGUAAAGGGUGCGUAGGCGGCCUGCUAAGUCUGGAGUGAAAGGUACCGGCUCAACCGGUACAGGCUCUGGAAACUGGCGGGCUAGAGAGCAGGAGAGGGCGGUGGAACUCCAUGUGUAGCGGUAAAAUGCGUAGAUAUAUGGAAGAACACCAGUGGCGAAAGCGGCCCUCUGGUCUGUAACUGACGCUGAGGUUCGAAAGCGUGGGUAGCAAACAGG
rnacentral:rRNA from 1 species